AGUGAACGCUGGCGGUAGGCCUAACACAUGCAAGUCGAACGGCAGCACAGGAGAGCUUGCUCUCUGGGUGGCGAGUGGCGGACGGGUGAGGAAUACAUCGGAAUCUACUCUGUCGUGGGGGAUAACGUAGGGAAACUUACGCUAAUACCGCAUACGACCUACGGGUGAAAGCAGGGGGCAUUCGGGCCUUGCGCGAUUGAAUGAGCCGAUGUGGGAUUAGCUAGUUGGCGGGGUAAAGGCCCACCAAGGCGACGAUCCGUAGCUGGUCUGAGAGGAUGAUCAGCCACACUGGAACUGAGACACGGUCCAGACUCCUACGGGAGGCAGCAGUGGGGAAUAUUGGACAAUGGGCGCAAGCCUGAUCCAGCCAUACCGCGUGGGUGAAGAAGGCCUUCGGGUUGUAAGGCCCUUUUGUUGGGAAAGAAAUCCAGCUGGCUAAUACCCGGUUGGGAUGACGGUACCCAAAGAAUAAGCACCGGCUAACUUCGUGCCAGCCGCCGCAGUAA
rnacentral:rRNA from 1 species